rnacentral:rRNA from 1 species
AGAAUCAACGCUGGCGGCGUGCCUAACACAUGCAAGUCGAACGCGAAACGUCCCGAAAGGGAUAAGUAGAGUGGCAAACGGGUGAGUAACGCGUGGGUGACCUGCCUUCGAGCGGGGGAUAACGUUCCGAAAGGGACGCUAAUACCGCAUAACAUCCUGCCUUUGAAGAGGUGGAGAUCAAAGCUGGGGAUCGCAAGACCUGGCACUUGAAGAGGGGCCCGCGUCCGAUUAGCUAGUUGGUGAGGUAACGGCUCACCAAGGCAACGAUCGGUA